rnacentral:rRNA from 1 species
GAACCGGACGAACGUUUAUUCGGAAUCACUGGGCUUAAAGAGUCCGUAGGCGGCUUGGUAGGUGAGGUGUGAAAUCCCACGGCUCAACCGUGGAAUUGCGCUUCAAACCACCAAGCUUGAGGGAGAUAGAGGAAAGCGGAACAGAUGGUGGAGCGGUGAAAUGCGUUGAUAUCAUCUGGAACACCGGUGGCGAAGGCGGCUUUCUGGGUCUCUUCUGACGCUGAGGGACGAAAGCUAGGGUAGCGAACGGGAUUAGAUACCCCGGUAGUCCUAGCUGUAAACGAUGAGCACUGGGUUGAAGGGACUUCCCACAUCCUUUCAGCCCGUAGCGAAAGCGUUAAGUGCUCCGCCUGGGGGAGUAUGGUCGCAAGGCUG